GGAGAGAUGGCAGAGCCCGGUCGAAUGCGCUCGACUCGAAAUCGAGUGAACUGGAGACAGUUCCGUGAGUUCAAAUCUCACUCUCUCCGCCA
rnacentral:tRNA from 1 species